rnacentral:rRNA from 1 species
UACAGGGGGGGCAAGCGUUGUUCGGAAUUACUGGGCGUAAAGGGCUCGUAGGUGGCCAACUAAGUCGGACGUGAAAUCCCUCAGCUUAACUGGGGAACUGCAUCCGAUACUGGGUGGCUUGAGUUUGGGAGAGGGAUGCGGAAUUCCAGGUGUAGCGGUGAAAUGCGUAGAUAUCUGGAGGAACACCGGUGGCGAAGGCGGCAUCCUGGACCAACACUGACACUGAGGAGCGAAAGCCAGGGGAGCAAACGGG